rnacentral:lncRNA from 1 species
AUUCUGAAGUUGCUGCUGCUGCUGCCUCCUUUCCCAUUCUCUUUGUCUUUGUAAUUUGUCUAUUUAAAAACAAACAAAGAACUCAAUAGGUUUCAGGGAAGAAUUGAAUGCAAAUAUGUGUGUUCAAUUCACCAUUUUUAACCUGAAGUGAUGGCUCUCAAUUUACAUUCUUGAUUUCAUACAAUAUCAGAUUUUGUAUUUUACCAUAUUUCUGACAAUUUCUUUUUUUUUCUCUAGAAAUGACAAGAUUUUACACUGGGAUAUCAUCCUUCUCCUUCCCAUCUUACCCUCUGUCUGAACCAAACUUCUAACAUGUUCAAAAGAGUCAUCUUUCUUGGGCCCACCCCCAUACUGAGGAACUUACUCUCCUCUUCCUGACCAACAAAGGAUUACUGGGAUCUAUAGCUUGUGUAUCAGGUAGGCAACCGACAGAAGAAUUCUGCAGACAGAAUUCAGGCCACUGCAGCUGUAGCUGUACACAGGCAACUGGCAUGUCUGGAAAAUCGGGUGGUAAUUCUGAUUCCAAGUUAGCAAACGUGGGACUCCCUAUCAUUUGAAUCAAUGUAAGCCCAAUUAAUGUGUUUGUUUAUUACUUAUUCAUUUUUAGCAGAAAAGAAUCACUUUCUUUUGGUAUUUUUCAUAUGUCUAGCAAAUACUAGGUAUAGAAAAUACCUCUAGUGUUGAAUCAAAGGGAAUACUCUGAUUUAAAUUGAAAAUGUUAAACAGAAUACACCAUGCUUUCUGAAGCACAACAGAUUUUAAGCAGAUCUAAAAAUUGGAUUUAGAAAAACAAAUAUAACUAUCUUUAUUUAUGUGUGUAACUAGAGUAAGAAGGCUAAAUUUUUCAGAUACCCAGAAAUGAUUUAUAGCUUGUAAUUACCUACUCCACUCAAUAUAAACAGGAUCAUAAUUCAUAUUACAUAAUCUAUAGCAUAUUCUAAAAUAUAUAAUGCUACUCUGAAAAAGAAAUUUCCUCUCAUGUCCACCACUAUGACCUGAAAGUGAUUUUUUUUAAAAAAUAAAUAAAGAAUUGACAUUAUUAAGUCUCA